CAAAUGUCUAUAUAAUAUUGGCAAUAAAGAAGGGCAUGCUCCGUUGUUUCCUGCUGCCCAAAGCCACAUGGACAUGAGUUUGUUAUUAUCUCAUUGUUAAAUAAUCUUUCCCAGGUGGCCCUAAUUCAGAAAUGGGGGCUCUCAGCAGAUGGGUGGACCCUGGAUUUCUGCAGGAAAUAAAUUGUGCAAGAGUGAGGAAGUAAGCAGGGGUACAUUCAGAGAAUGACUGUCAGGUGCUCUGUCUGAGAACCCAGGAGAGUCUUCACAUAUGAUAUCUUUGGAACAUUGCCACAUCUAAAUCAAAACAUCCUUCUCAUUGACAUCAACGAGUCGCACUUUCAUGAAGCAGAAGAUACCGCUGCCGUGUUGCCGUCAGAUGAGUAAUCCCAGGAACCCAAAUAUCAGGGCACUGGAUGUGCCUCAAUGAUAAGCGACGCUACAGAAAAUGCAAAAGAUGACUAUUUAAAAGCAGG